AAGGGAAUCUUCGGCAAUGGGGGGAACCCUGACCGAGCAACGCCGCGUGAGUGAAGAAGGUUUUCGGAUCGUAAAGCUCUGUUGUUAAGGAAGAACGAGUGUGAGAAUGGAAAGUUCAUGCUGUGACGGUACUUAACCAGAAAGGGACGGCUAACUACGUGCCAGCAGCCGCGGUAAUACGUAGGUCCCGAGCGUUGUCCGGAUUUAUUGGGCGUAAAGCGAGCGCAGGCGGUUAGAAAAGUCUGAAGUGAAAGGCAGUGGCUCAACCAUUGUAGGCUUUGGAAACUGUUUAACUUGAGUGCAGAAGGGGAGAGUGGAAUUCCAUGUGUAGCGGUGAAAUGCGUAGAUAUAUGGAGGAACACCGGUGGCGAAAGCGGCUCUCUGGUCUGUAACUGACGCUGAGGCUCGAAAGCGUGGGGAGCGAACAGG
rnacentral:rRNA from 1 species